CGGCGUGCAGCGCAGUCGGUCAGCGCACCUGCCCUGGGAGCAGGGGCUCGCAAGUUCGAAUCUUGCCGCCCCGA
rnacentral:tRNA from 1 species